rnacentral:lncRNA from 1 species
AGCUGGAUGAAUGUUUAACUUCUAGGCCAGGCACUACUCUGUCCCAACAAUAAGCCCUGUACAUUGGGAAAGGUGCCGAGACAUGAACUUUGGUCUUCUCUGCAAUCCAUCUGGAGCAUUCACUGACAACAUCGACUUUGAAGUUGCACUGACCUGGCCAGCCCUGCCACUUACCAGGUUGGAUAACACUAACAAAGUUGACCUUAGAAUUGGAGUGCCUGGGUUAGAACCCUGCUGGUACCACCUGCUUACUGCAUGCUUCUGAUGUGAGUUCAGGAGAAGACACUGGCAAGGACAGCAAAGAACAGGAGAACACUCUAGCUUCCCUGAUAGCAUUCAAGGUGCUGUCCAAACUGACUGUGAUGGCACCCUCCAGACAGACAGCGAUGCCACAUGUUCAAGAUGGCAGAAUCACUAUCAGCUUCAAUUCCUGAAUGACUGCAGAGCAAAAUUUCUUACCUGCAACAUACACUCUAUUUUCAGCCUCCCUGGACUGUUACAUAAUGAUACAUAAAAAUAUUUCUUGUGUUGAGGCAUCCCAAAUUUGAUUUAUUUGUCAUCACAGUCUAUCCUAUGAAUAUAUUUCUGAUCCAAAUAAUGCUAGAUUCAUGAGAGUUUAUAGUCCAGAGAUUUUUUUUUUUUUUUUGAGACAGAAUCUGUCUCCCAGGCUGGGGUGCAGUGGCAUAAUCUUAGCUCACUGCAACCUCUGCCUCCCGGGCUCAAGUGAUCCUCCCUCCUUAGCCUCCAUGAGUAGCUGGGACCACAGGUGUGCACCACCACACCCCGCUAAUUAUUUUGUAUUUUUUGCAGAGGGGGGUUUCACCACAUUGCCCAAGCUGGUCUCAAACUCCUAGACUUAAGGGAUCUGCCUGCCUUGGCCUCCCAAAAUGCUGAAAUUACACUUGUUAGCCAUAGUAAUAGUUCCUAGCCAUAGUCCGGAGAUAUUUUAAAAACUUUAGUGUGAGUUAUUUCUCUUUGCUAUAAUUCUCUCAUGCAUUUUGAAAACCUUUUCUGCCAUACAGUGGUUUUUGGGAAGUCCUUUUGGACAGACAUAUCACAGGAUGGAGAAACUAAAAAGAGAGAAUGCAUUAAAGAAAAAAUAGUACUUCGUAUUUCAGAAAUUACAAAAGGGUGUCAUGCCCCACAGCAUGGUGGGCAGUCAUUUGUAACCCACAGAACAUUGAGUUUCUAAAAUUUGAGUGUUUUUAACUUACGAAGGCCAACUUUACUGAUGAAGUGAUUACCCCAAAUAUGUGAAAUCCAUAUUUCAAGUACAAUAGUAGGAAAUUGGAAAUGGGUAGGUAUAUUUCUGACUGUCAAAGAGUACAAAGUAAAGAGGGGCCCCUGAAGAGUGACACUACUGGAAAAACAGAAGAAAAAAAAAA